UACUACUAGUAGUACAUACUGGAAGUACAUACUACUAGUAGUACUAUUAGUGCUACUAGUAUGUACCACUAGUACUAGUAGUGU
rnacentral:tRNA from 1 species